UACGUAGGGUGCGAGCGUUGUCCGGAAUUAUUGGGCGUAAAGGGCUCGUAGGCGGUUUGUCGCGUCGGGAGUGAAAACUCAGGGCUUAACCCUGAGCCUGCUUCCGAUACGGGCAGACUAGAGGUAUGCAGGGGAGAACGGAAUUCCUGGUGUAGCGGUGAAAUGCGCAGAUAUCAGGAAGAACACCCGUGGCGAAGGCGGUUCUCUGGGACGGUACUGACGCUGAGACGCGAAAGCGUGGGGAGCGAACAGG
rnacentral:rRNA from 1 species